rnacentral:rRNA from 1 species
CCCUUAGAUGUCCGGGGCUGCACGCGCGCUACACUGAAGGAAUCAGCGUGCUAAAACCAUUGUUGAAAGGCAUUGGUAAACCCAUUAAAAUCCUACGUGAUUGGGAUCGGGAAUUGCAAUUAUUUCCCUUGAACGAGGAAUUCCCAGUAAGUGUGGGUCAUAAGCUCGCGUUGAUUACGUCCCUGCCCUUUGUACACACCGCCCGUCGCUGCCCGGGACUGAGCCGUUUCGAGAAAAGCGGGGACUGCUGCUGUCGGGGCUUUCGGGCCUUGGCUUCGGUGGAAACCGCUUUAAUCGCAGUGGCUUGAACCGGGCAAAANUCGUAACA